GGGCAAUAUGAAGGUGCCAAGGGAAAGCAUCAAUCGGUGGUCCAACACCAGCUUCAAGACCAAAUAACCACAUCAGUGGCCGGUACACCAUUCUACUCUGUUCUGUGAAUUUGAUGAUUCCAGAGUCAACAUCUAAAGACUUCAUCUACCGAAGAGAUGAGCAGGUCAGAUGCAGAAGGAUCUGGGUAGAUAAACCGAAAGGAGGAAAAGAACAAGCCAUCUGUCUAUCCACUGUUGGCUGAUGCUCUAAGGAUCCUGAAGCCAUUGCUGAAUCCUUUGGUGCUGCUGGAACUGUCUGUCACAGUGAUCACAUGUAUGUGAUCAGUAUCUGAUGUAUAUCCUUGUAUGCCAUCUAAGCUCAUCAGAGAGAAGACCUGCAUGACACCCUUCCCAGCUACACCUACACAGCGCAUCACAUUCCACCCUGGUGCCUCAGCAGGUGCCUACGGAGGCCAGGAGAGGGCAUCAGAUUCCCUGGAACUGGAAUUAUAGAAGGUUGCAAGUUGCCAUGUUGGUGGUGGGAACUUGGGUCCUCUGUAAGAGCAGUAAGUGCUCUUUAACUGCUAAGUUUCCUCUCCAGCCCCUGCAGACAUUCCUGUAUCACUGCUCCAUGAACAGUACAAUGCAGCAGCUAUUUAUACACCUUUUAUGUUGCACUAGGCGUGAUAAGUAACCUAGAGGUAAUUGAGUGUAUGCAAAGUUCUGAGUGGGUUUACAUUGAACUAUUAUGCUCUUGUAGUGAGAGGUGAGUAUUCAUGGAUUCUGGUACCUGCAUGGCUCCUUGAAUAAACCCUUCACAGUUACCUAUGGAUGGUAAGAAUUAAUCUAAAAACUCAGUCACUCAAGUUAUAAUGAAGGCAAAGAGGAUAAAAGGAAAUGAAAAUUCAUAUGGCUGUGCAGUUUUUUCCCACAAGCCCAUGAGAAUUCCAACCAGUUCAUUGUGAUUUAAACACCCAGUGUUUCAUAGAUGUAAAAAAAAAGAAGCAAGUGGAAACUAGAAAGUAAAGUGCUUCCUUUAGCAUUUUGCAGACAAUAGAUU